rnacentral:pre_miRNA from 1 species
AUUGAAACGGGGAAGGUUAUGGCGCUUGUGUUUGAUUCGUUCAUAAGCGUAUAGCUUUUCCCCUUUUAAU